GGCAGUGUAGUAUAGCGGUCAGUACAUGACGUGCGAGGAACAGGGCGUGCUAGCAAUACACCGGCUUUGGCCAGGCCUGUGGCAGGCGCGUCAUCGAACUCGUAACCUCAAGGUCCUGGUUCGAAUCCAGGCAUUGUCA